rnacentral:rRNA from 1 species
AACGAACGCUGGCGGCAGGCCUAACACAUGCAAGUCGAGCGAGGACUUCGGUUCUAGCGGCGGACGGGUGAGUAACGCGUGGUAAUGUGCCCUUCUCUACGGAAUAGCCCUGGGAAACUGGGAGUAAUACCGUAUACACACUUUUGGGGAAGGAUUUAUCGGAGAAGGAUCAGCCCGCGUUGGAUUAGGUAGUUGGUGGGGUAAUGGCCUACCAAGCCGACGAUCCAUAGCUGGUUUGAGAGGAUGAUCAGCCACACUGGGACAGAGACACGACCCAGACGCCUACGGGAAGUAGCAGAGGGGAAUCUUAGACAAUGGGGGCGACCCUGAGAUAGCCAUGCCGCGUGGAUGAUGAAGGCCUUAGGGUUGGAAAGCUCUUGCAGCUGGGAAGAUAAUGACGGUACCAGCAGAAGAAGCCCCGGCUAACUCCGUG